GGAAAACGUCUUCUUGCUUUUCUGCAAUUCUGGCGACCCAGCUAGAACCUGCUGCUAGUGUCCCUCUUCGCUCGUUCUUUCUAUGAAAGGAGAAGGCAGCACUGGCAGAAGAUUUUCCAAGAAUGCAAUGUCGACUGGUGCUCGUACCAGAAGAAGGGAGAAAUCAAAGUCCGCUCUUGAAUCAUGCCUGAGUAUUAGAAAAUUUUCUGAACACGCUUGUGUAGAUUUCCUGCCAGUGCCACUGACAUCUCGCGACCUUCAAAUAUUUUACUUGCUCGAUCAUCUCCCGCACUGACUGGCAAAUUCGUCAGGUAGCUGUGGAUGGAUCGAUUCAGGGAGAUCGAAGAUUGGAUGGCAUUGGAGGUGAAUUUGAUAAUUUGUGACUGUGUCAUCAACCAAGUGAGGACAUCAAAUAUCAACAGGGACGCUGGGAAAAUCACAAACGCUGCGAAAUAGAUAUGGAAUGGUCUUACACACUGGAGGGUAUUCCACAUUCAUUGUGUCAUAUCUUUAGACUGUCCGAAUGUUUGUCGUGCCGUGCAACUUUCACAGACUAUUCCGAUAAUUGGCAUGUGGCCCUACUGGCACACACUCAUGCGUAUGCCGUUGAGUUUAUCUAUAUGUGCACGCACAUGUGUGUAUACAUAUACAAUUUUAUUACGUAUGCAAAAUUAGGCAAUCUACAUGUACAUAUAUAUGUGUGUGCACUCACUCCUAUGACAUAGAACGACAGCGCAGGCUAUGAAGUCGCAUGAAUGUGUCACCCGGGUGUGUACAUGCAUGCGCGCUCGCGCGGGCGUUUUGUGUGCGCGCCUGGCAUGGCAUAACGCCGUUCAAUAUGACUAGUGUUGAACCGUGGUAAUUUGCCCCCACCCCCGCUUUUUCUGCUGGCGUUGGAUAUGCAACUAAUGACAUAAACUCAGUUGUUGAAAACGAGUGCCAUGCACCACAAUGGAUUGACAAUAAUAAUUAUAAUACAAGUAGCACUGUAAAAGCGCUGGUAAUACUCAUGUUGCAGCCAUGGCAGUUGUGAUUAGCUUUCCAAGUCAAGCCUGCUGCAGAAAUUAUUGCACUCUGACCAGCUAGAGUGGCCCAGGACUGCCGGUUGUGGAGAACAGGAGUGAUGCUUGCAUAUACGCUUGUAUUUACAUGAUGUACACAGUGUACUUCGAAGUAACGUUAGGUGUAUUA